GACGAACGCUGGCGGCGUGCUUAACACAUGCAAGUCGAGCGGUAAGGCCCUUUCGGGGGUACACGAGCGGCGAACGGGUGAGUAACACGUGGGUGACCUGCCCUCAGCUCUGGGAUAAGCCUGGGAAACUGGGUCUAAUACCGGAUAUGACUCCAUGGCGCAUGUUGUGGGGUGGAAAGCCUUGUGCGGCUGAGGAUGGGCCCGCGGCCUAUCAGCUUGUUGGUGGGUGAGGCCUACCAAGGCGACGACGGGUAGCCGGCCUGAGAGGGCGACCGGCCACACUGGGACUGAGACACGGCCCAGACUCCUACGGGAGGCAGCAGUGGGGAAUCUUGCGCAAUGGGCGAAAGCCUGACGCAGCGACGCCGCGUGAGGGAUGACGGCCUGG
rnacentral:rRNA from 1 species